rnacentral:rRNA from 1 species
AUUGAACGCUGGCGGCAUGCCUUACACAUGCAAGUCGAACGGCAGCACGGGAGCAAUCCUGGUGGCGAGUGGCGAACGGGUGAGUAAUAUAUCGGAACGUGCCCAGUCGUGGGGAUAACGUAGCGAAAGCUACGCUAAUACCGCAUACGAUCUAUGGAUGAAAGCGGGGGAUCGCAAGACCUCGCGCGAUUGGAGCGGCCGAUAUCAGAUUAGGUAGUUGGUGAGGUAAAGGCUCACCAAGCCGACGAUCUGUAGCUGGUCUGAGAGGACGACCAGCCACACUGGGACUGAGACACGGCCCAGACUCCUACGGGAGGCAGCAGUGGGG